GGGUCCGGACACACUGAGGAUUGACAGGCGCUUGUAGUUAUGAGAUUAUUAAUUUAUUAAUAAUUAAAUUUCUGCUAUAAAUAUGCUAGUCCUUUCAUGAUUGUGUGAUAGGUGGUGCAUGGCCGUCCUUAGUUCGUGGAGUGAUCUGUCUGCUUAAUUGCGUUUCACUGUGGACAUUGUUAUAAUAGUGUGUGCACGCAUAACUUCGGUUAUGUUGUUGCCUACUGUUCCAAAUGUCCUGAAGGCAACGAACGUGACCGCAACCUCUUGUUGCCUCUUCCAAAUACUUAUUUUAUUAUCUUUUUUGAUAAUUGAGAUCGGUUUAUAGAGGCUAACUAGAGGGACCGCUGACAACUUUUAAAACAGAGGAAGGUUGCGGCAAUAACAGGUCUGUGAUGCCCUUAGAUGUUCCGGGCUGCACACGUGCUACAAUGAUUAUUGCACUGAGCAUCUAAUUUUAUUAAAAGUUCGUUUGGUUUAAUUUGAUCUUAACAGAUUAAAUAAAACUAACGACAUUUCCUACUUCGAAAGUAAGUAGGU
rnacentral:rRNA from 1 species